UACGUAGGCAGCGAGCGUUGUUCGGAGUUACUGGGCGUAAAGGGUGUGUAGGCGGUUCUUUAAGUUUGGUGUGAAAUCUCCCGGCUCAACUGGGAGGGUGCGCCGAAUACUGAGGGACUAGAGUACGGGAGAGGAAAGUGGAAUUCCUGGUGUAGCGGUGAAAUGCGUAGAUAUCAGGAGGAACACCGGUGGUGUAGACGGCUUUCUGGACCGAGACUGACGCUGAGGCGCGAAAGCGUGGGGAGCAAACAGG
rnacentral:rRNA from 1 species